GACGAACGCUGGCGGCGUGCUUAACACAUGCAAGUCGAACGGAAAGGCCCUGCUGUUGUGGGGUGCUCGAGUGGCGAACGGGUGAGUAACACGUGAGUAACCUGCCCUUGACUUUGGGAUAACUUCAGGAAACUGGGGCUAAUACCGGAUAGGAGCUCCUGCUGCAUGGUGGGGGUUGGAAAGUUUCGGCGGUUGGGGAUGGACUCGCGGCUUAUCAGUUUGUUGGUGGGGUAGUGGCUUACCAAGGCUUUGACGGGUAGCCGGCCUGAGAGGGUGACCGGCCACAUUGGGACUGAGAUACGGCCCAGACUCCUACGGGAGGCAGCAGUGGGGAAUAUUGCACAAUGGGCGGAAGCCUGAUGCAGCAACGCCGCGUGCGGGAUGACGGCCUUCGGGUUGUAAACCGCUUUCGCCUGUGACGAAGCGUGAGUGACGGUAAUGGGUAAAGAAGCACCGGCUAACUACGUG
rnacentral:rRNA from 1 species